rnacentral:rRNA from 1 species
GAUGAACGCUGGCGGCGUGCUUAACACAUGCAAGUCGAACGGAAAGGCCCAAGCUUGCUUGGGUGCUCGAGAGGCGAACGGGUGAGUAACACGUGGGUGAUCUGACCUGCACUUUGGGAUAAGCCUGGGAAACUGGGUCUAAUACCGGAUAGGACCGUCGUUUAGUGUCGGGGGUGGAAAGUUUUUCGGUGUGGGUUGAGCUCGCGGACUAUACGCUUGUUGGUGGGGUAAUGGCCUACCAAGGCGUCGACGGGUAGACGGCCGGUGAGGGUGGACGGCCACAUUGGGUCUGAGUGACGGCCCGGACACCUACGGGAGGCAGCAGGGGGGAAUAUUGCUCAAGGGGCGCGAGCCUGAUGCAGCGACGCCUCGUGGGGGAUGACGGCCUGCGUGUUGUAAACUCCUUUCGCCAAGGACGAAGCGUUUUGUGACGGUACUUGGAGAAGAAGCACCGGCUAACUACGUG